GGCAGCUGGAGAAAGCGCCCCUCCGGCGUCGGGAGAGCGACGGUCGAUUUCUCAAUUAGCGUUGAGCAUUUUUUUCAAACAAAACGAGAAGUUAUUCUAAAAGUGAGCGAUUGAAAACCACAGCAAUGCUGCAUGGAGCUGACAAUUUCACUCACAUUACAAUGGGGAGUAAGCUGUAACCAGGGAACUGGAAAAGCUUCAUUUCACGGUUCAAGGCUGCAUGAGAGAACAAGCGAAGGCUGCUACCCCACAGUCAGCGACUCUGAUCACUGAACUUUCCAACAUCCAGGAAGUUGCAAAUGAAGUUAGUGGAAAAUAGUCCAACUCGGGCUGCGUUCAGAGAAAUGUCGUCUCAUCAUUGAAUUACAUCACAUCAAGGUCGGCAGUUUCAACACACAACUGCUACAAGAAGAUAAAUUAGAAUCGUUUCAUACGACCGACUUCAGUAUCAAAGCCACAGGAUCGUUGGAUUUCUUAUCAUCUUUUAUUGGCAGAGCCUAUGCCUCAUACUCUGGUCUCCUUCGGUGUCGUUCAGUUCCUAAUGCAGCUCCAAUGCUGUAAUUACAGACGGCCUUAUUUCCGGAAAGGGUGGGAGACAGAGGGAGGGAGAAAUCGCUGUGGUAUCUUGUCCCCUAAGGCUAAGGUUUUCGGGUUUACAGCAAUAGCAUAUUACAAGGGUGAUAUUUUACACUAAAUAGAGGUUUCUAAUCAAACUAACUGUUUUAAUGGCUGUUGGAAGGCGGUCCACCUUAGGAAAACAAAAGGGAACACUGCUCAGUUUAUAGUCGUAUCUCUAAACAGGAUGUAACUCCUUUAAUUAUUUGUUUGUCAAUUGCAGUUUUCAUGACGUUUUGACUUUUCUGAGGGAUCAGCUGAAAGCAGCCGAGAUCUGCAAACCGCCGCCAGAAUUCAUAUCAAAUGUGCACAAUGUUUGGAAACAAAACUUUCAGAAUUGCAGAAAUGUCGCUGUAUUGAUGCUAGGAGCGGCUGAUCAAAACAUUUCUCGUUGUUUAACCACAGGAGAGUGAAAACCAGAUAAUCACUCAGCAAAAAAAAAUUCUCAAGAGAAACACACACAAUAUAUUAAAGCUUUCAGUUGCUGCUAGACAAUUUACCUAAUCACAAACACUAUGUAAUAAAGCAAAGUCAUAAUGGCU